UCCAAACGUGAAAACUCUCUUUCUCUCCCGAUCGAUAUUCUCGCAAAGCAAAACAGAGGAUCACGUUCUUCCUCUCUCGAAGCACUCUCCCACGAAUCCCUCAUUCGAUCGCUCCUUUCUCUCAAUAUCAUUAAGAACAAAACAGCAACAUUCAAUCAAGUAAACCAGAACCCUUAUCCCCAACAUAAAUCCCUAAACCCCAAUUUUCAAUAUGUUCAGCUGAUGAUUACGUGAUACAUCUGAAGUCAAGAGGAACAGGAAAUUGCAAUGUACAAAAUAAAGCAACAAUUCAACAAUAAAUCAAGGUUUACAGAAGAUCUACCGAGCGUGAGAGCUUCAGAAGGCGAUAUCAAGGUAAGGACUUGUUUAACCAUUUGGGUGAAAAUUUUGGCUUUUUUGAAGCAGGUUUUGGACAGAUAUGUGCACACGUCCUUGGACAGGAGUGGUGGACAGAAGUGGUGGAGCAGGUUGUAGUAGCAAAGAUUAUGUGCACACGUCCUUGGACAGGAGUGGUGGUCAGAAGUGGUGGAGCAGGUUGUAGUAGCAAAGAUUCAAAGAGAUGGUGGUGCGCAGGAUACAUGGGGAUGUUACCAACAACACUUUUUCCUUUCUUGAUCGAAACAGUACCUCUGCAUAUGGCUUUUAUUUUUGUCUUUUUAGUGGUUACUUAGAAAAUUGAAAUAUCCUUGCAUAGGAUUCUUAAAAAAUGUACUAUUGUUUAUAUAAAAAAAAUAAAGCUACCUUAAACAAAAUAUUAUAUAUUUUUUUUAUUUUUAUAACAAGGUUAUUAUAAUAUUGAAUGUAAAUGACUAAGAUAAAAUGCAAUUACUAUCUAUAAUGCUGAUUUUAAACAAUAAUUAGUUUUAUUAUUAAAGAAAUAUUAAUUCCAAUAAUAACAAACUUAAUUAUUAAUUUAAUUAACAAAAUGGUACAAAAAGAACCAAAUAUACAAGGUGCAAAAGUUGGUCACAAUUCGAGAACGUGACGUGAUUAGCAAAAUGACUGGGUCAAAGGACCUUGCAAAUAGCUAACUAUUAAU